rnacentral:rRNA from 1 species
CAUGUCUUUUUGAUAAUAAUUUAAAGUCUAAUCUGCCCUAUGAGGAGUUAAAUGGCUGCAAUAUCCUGAUUGUGCAAAGGUAGCAUAAUAAUUAGUUUUUUAAUUGGGAACUGGUAUGAAUGAUUGGAUGAGAAAAAAACUGUCUCAAUUUUAAUUUAAUUAGAAUUUUAUUUUUAAGUUAAAAAGCUUAAAUAAAUUUAAAAGACGAGAAGACCCUAUAGAGUUUUAUAUAAUUUAUAUAUUUAAUAAUUUAAGUAAUCUUAUCUAUUAAUUUUAUAAUUUAUAUUUGAUUGGGGUGAUUGAAAAAUUUAAUAAACUUUUUUUUAUUUAUUACAUUAAUUUAUGUUUAAUUGAUCCAUAUAUUUAUGAUUAAAAGAUUAAAUUACCUUAGGGAUAACAGCGUAAUUUUUUUUGAGAGUUCUUAUCGAAAGAAAAGAUUGCGACC